GGGUAACCUGCGGAGGGAUCAUUACACAAAUAUGAAGGCGGGCUGGAACCUCUCGGGGUUACAGCCUUGCUGAAUUAUUCACCCUUGUCUUUUGCGUACUUCUUGUUUCCUUGGUGGGUUCGCCCACCACUAGGACAAACAUAAACCUUUUGUAAUUGCAAUCAGCGUCAGUAACAAAUUAAUAAUUACAACUUUCAACAACGGAUCUCUUGGUUCUGGCAUCGAUGAAGAACGCAGCGAAAUGCGAUAAGUAGUGUGAAUUGCAGAAUUCAGUGAAUCAUCGAAUCUUUGAACGCACAUUGCGCCCUUUGGUAUUCCAAAGGGCAUGCCUGUUCGAGCGUCAUUUGUACCCUCAAGCUUUGCUUGGUGUUGGGCGUCUUGUCUCUAGCUUUGCUGGAGACUCGCCUUAAAGUAAUUGGCAGCCGGCCUACUGGUUUCGGAGCGCAGCACAAGUCGCACUCUCUAUCAGCAAAGGUCUAGCAUCCAUUAAGCCUUUUUUUCAACUUUGACCUCGGAUCAGGUAGGAUCCCCAGCCCC
rnacentral:rRNA from 1 species